AUUAUGAUGCAGAUUAGCCCUACUUACAGACCAAACUUGACCUGCAUGAAAAUGCUGACAUGUUCUAUCAUUGUCAAAGUUGUAGAAGUCCUGGACAGAUUUUUUCUGCUGUGUAGCUUUUGAAGAAUCACAUAAAUUCUCCUCCAAGCUUGUAGGCUGCAAUGCUGGUAGCAAAUUUACAGUAUCCACAUAGUUGUCUACAUCUGGUAGAGUACUCCAUCCAAACUUCCUACCAGCAGAAGGCCAAUUUGGUUCUGUAACACAAAUUUCAAGUUGUUGCCUAUCCAUGCCGUGCAAAUUUACUUGAUUUGCUUCAGGGAUUGAAACAUAUUUUGCAAGCAUUUCAGUUGCUUUACCACCCUUACCACAAAUUUGACUUGAAGAGUCCUUAUAUGCUGAAGAGCUUUGAGAAGUACUAUUGGUCUCUUCAUUUAGGCUACUUUGAUAGAUUGAUGUUUGCAAAUCAAAAGAUCUAUAAUUCUCCCAGCUUGUAAUCCUUUUCAAAUCAAAUUCAGAACGCUUCUUGUGGUCUUCAAGCACUAUUAAUGCAUCCUUUAGAAGUUUCAGAGCCAAUUCGGUACAAGGGAACUGUGUCCUGAUAAGCUGCAAUAAGGUGACAAGCUUCUGGUAUUGGCACCCAAUAUCAACCAUUGAAGAAGAGGGCGUAACCUGAAGGACCCAGUAGUGAUCUAUUCCACAUCCUGGAAGCUCGACUCUGGCAGCAGUGAGUGUGUCGCAUAAGGUUAACAUAGAACCAAUUUUAUCAUUUUGAGGAAAAAGCUGAUGCGCUCUAAGCAAGUGCUCCCUGGCACUGGCUAAGUCGUCGCAAAUAAUCAUCUGCUCAGCCACCUCUUGCUCUCUAAGAGCCUGCAGCAUCAGUUGAUUCAUAUCUAUUCCAGAUUUCAGAGGCUAACUCUCUAAAACACCAAAAUAAGCCAUUUCAGUCAAGCCAGGUGCCAAUCUUUAUGCAAGGCUUCCACUUCUAUUGUUUAACUUUUGGGCAUAGAAACUCAGCUCUAACUGGCUGCGAUUACACAGCUCUAAUCAUGCAUGUUUCAUUGUCUGAAACGAAAGAGAAGUAGAUAAAGCGUCCGUGUUUGCUGGAGAAGAAAAGGGUUGGCCCAAAGCUGGCAAGGUUCCCUGAAGAAGAAAAG
rnacentral:misc_RNA from 1 species